GGUCGGCAAAAUCCUAUCUCUACCUCCCCGUGGUGCCGGCCGGAAUAUGCAGCUCCAUUUUGUGUGCUGCAUAUACCAACAGAGAAGG
rnacentral:ribozyme from 1 species